GAUGAACGCUGGCGGCGUGCCUAAUACAUGCAAGUCGAGCGAACAGACGAUGAUCUUGCUCCUCGGACGUUAGCCGCGGGCGUGUGUGUAACACGUGUAUAACCUACCUAUAAGUCUGGUAUAACUUCGGGAAACCGGCUCUAAUACCGUAGAAGAUAUUGAACCACAGUGUUGAAUGGUGAAUUUCGGUGUUUCGGGCACUUAUAGCUGGAUCCGCGCCGUUUUAGCUAGUUGUUGAGGUAACGGCUUACCACGGCAAGGAUGCGUAAACGAACGAAGAGAGUGAUCGGCGACACUGGAGGUGAGACCGGGUCAAGACUCCUACGGGAGGGAGCAGUAGGGAAUGUUAGGCAAAGGGCGAAAGCAUGACGGAGCAGCGGCGCGUGAGUGAUGAAGGUCUUCGGAUCGUAAAACUCUGUUAUUAGGGAAGAACAAAUGUGUAAGGAACUAUGCCCGUCGUGACGGUAACUGAUCAGAAAGCAACGGCUAACUACGUG
rnacentral:rRNA from 1 species